CCAGACGGUCGGGCGGCCGCUGUCGCGUCGAUGCGAAUCGGCGCGAUGGAGGAAAGUCCGGGCUCCACGGGAGAACGAUGCCGGUUAACGACCGGCGGGGGCGACCCCAGGGAAAGUGCCACAGAAAACAAACCGCCCGCCUGACCUCACCGUCGCGGGUAAGGGUGAAACGGUGCGGUAAGAGCGCACCGCCUGCCUGGCAACAGGGAGGGCAGGGCAAACCCCAUCGGGAGCAAGACCGAAUAGGAACGGCUGGCGGCGUCUCCGGAUGCCGCCGGAGGGCUCUCCCGCCUCGUCGUUCGGGUUGGUCGCGUGAGGCGCGCCGCAAGGCGCGUCCCAGAGGAAUGGCCGCCCCGUCAGCAAUGACGGACAGAACCCGGCUUACAGACCGUCUGGCAAU
rnacentral:RNase_P_RNA from 2 species